GAGAUGCUGCAUUUCAAUGAUCCCAACCCGCUGGAUGUCCAGAAACUGCAGCUGUGAUAAACUCUCAUUUAUGGCUUUUCAAAGAUGUCACAUUUGGCACAGAAGUCCCUCAACCACAAGUUAUCAGUGACUGGUUCUGCACCAAAAUCGGCGUUUUUCUUGAGAUAUUGGCUGUGAAAAAAUUUGCGUGUGUGGGACUGUGUGUGAGAGUUCAGGGCGACUCCUGAGAAAGCGCAGAGAGGACCAGACAUCCUGGAAGAUCUCAGAAGUAGCCAUCUCAGAUGCAGCACUGCUAUGAUAUCAGAUGGAAUUUGAAGGCAUGUCUGUCUCUAUAGAAUGCAACAGCAAGAUCCUGAAGUGAUGAUUACAGCCAAAACCUGUGAUUUCAUGUUCAGCUGAUUGCUUUUGACCCGUUUGAGAACAUUAGUAGCUUGCUGAAAUCCUUGUGGAGCAGCAUUUGGAGGACACCAAGCAGCGUUUGGAGGACACCAAGCAGCGUUUGGAGGACACCAAAGGAACGCAGGUUCCACACGCACGCUGACAGAGGUUUUGCCUGGCACAGGGGAGCAGCGAAGGCGUAAGUUAUCAAGACGAAGGUAAGAGCAGCAUUGCUCAUUGCUCUGCACACAGACUGUGAGUCACACAUGUGAGAAGCCCCGCUUCUGAACACCACAGGAGAACACGGCAGGACCAGAAUGACCUUGCACCAGUCUUCCUGGGCAACAGGUUCGCUCAUAAAAUCUGCAUCAGAGACUUCCUUGCAAUUGGGUCAUUCAAUCUUUGAUCAUUUUUCUGUUCCAUAAGGACUACAGAGAGAUCCCAUGUGACCACGGUGGAAGGGAAGAAAGCUUAUCAUCGGGUGACAGAAGAAUGCCCUUAUUGUUCGAGCCAAUACUUACAAAUAACCCUUUCCAGUGUGUCAUACAGGAGUAUAAGCAUACAGCAAACCUUACUGUAUUUCAGCUCCAAAGAUCAAUACAUUUUGCAGUGAAAUAGGAUAUGACCUGCAUUGUAGUCCAUGGAAAGUUAAUCAGU